CUUGUUUUUAUUUCAGAAAUGAUUUGCCCCUGUGGGCUCAUUUAUAGAUACAUUCUUCAACUUGUGUAUUCUUUCUAUUUUCCAGUGCUGUUGAAGAGGAGUUGCUGGCCCCGCAGGCCUCUCUCUCUGUGCGCAUAAUAAGGACAUAUCACCUAACUGGGCUCUGGCUCACUUAACAGCUUCUUUGUCUUUGGACUUCCACAUCGUGAUGUCACCGAGCAGCAGCCUUUUCCAGGAAGCUGUUAAGGAGGUGGGAAAUCCAUGCUUGCUGAUUUUUCCCAAAUAAGAGGCAGGCGGGGAGCCAGUUGCAGUCAAGUCUUGCCAGCAACGUUUGUCUUAAGAACGAGCUCUCUCACUGGACAUGGGAUCUUCCAGGAAGUGUCUUCCCAGUGUCCCUUCUGGUCCUGCCACGGCAUCUCUCAUGUGGAGCAAUGCUGCCAGGACCAACUUCCAGGCCCUCUGGGAUGAGUUCCUCCCAUCCCCUAGCUCCUGCCAGGCAGCCCUCUCCACACAGCUGUCUCUCUGGGAUCCAGUCACUUCUUCCUUCCCUUGCCUUUACGAUGGCAAACGUUGGUGUAAAACUUGA
rnacentral:lncRNA from 13 species